rnacentral:rRNA from 1 species
AUUGAACGCUGGCGGAAUGCUUUACACAUGCAAGUCGAACGGUAGAGGGGGCAACCCCUCGAGAGUGGCGAACGGGUGAGUAAUAUAUCGGAACGUGCCCAGUCGUGGGGGAUAACGUAGCGAAAGUUACGCUAAUACCGCAUACGAUCUAAGGAUGAAAGCGGGGGAUCGCAAGACCUCGCGCGAUUGGAGCGGCCGAUAUCAGAUUAGGUAGUUGGUGGGGUAAAGGCUCACCAAGCCAACGAUCUGUAGCUGGUCUGAGAGGACGACCAGCCACACUGGAACUGAGACACGGUCCAGACUCCUACGGGAGGCAGCAGUGGGGAAUUUUGGACAAUGGACGCAAGUCUGAUCCAGCCAUUCCGCGUGCAGGAUGAAGGCCCUCGGGUUGUAAACUGCUUUUGUACGGAACGAAAAGGUCUCUCUUAAUACGGGGGACUCAUGACGGUACCGUAAGAAUAAGCACCGGCUAACUACGUGCCAGCCGCCGCCGUAACAC